rnacentral:ncRNA from 1 species
AUGAGAAAUGCGGGAGAGACCCUAUAUGGGCGCCGAAGGAGUAAGUUAUUGGUUGUGCCGACUAGUAAUGAAACUCUCAGGCAAAAGGACCGCAUUUUGACA